GAUCUUGAUGACAGAAACAUUGAUUUUCCUCUUCUGAAAAAUGAGGAACUUGAAACAGUUGAUGGAUAAAUCUUUGCUCAGCUCAGUUAUACUGAAUUAUUCCUAAGCUUCCUUUUAGCUUUAAACAGAGAGGUUAGUGCAGACGUGGUUCACAUCAAAGGAAAGAGCUGUGGAUCUUUCUGUCUUGAAGGUUUCAAUACAGAGCCCUGCUGUCCAGGUCCCCACAUCCACCAACACAGAAGACAGCAAAUAUACUUACUGAGUACCUAUUUACUGAACACCUCUGUGACGACUCUGAGCUAAUUACUGUAAAUACAGGAAUUCUCCUAGCAGAUACAGUCACUGCCCUCAUAGAGCUUUUCAACUAGUAAAGGAGAUAAACAUUAGUCAUUAUCUUGUAUGUCAACUAGCAAGACAUCAACUUUCACUCAAAUCUGUGGAGAAUAGAUGGUGACUGCCAUCCCAAAAACUGUUGGAAGGGGAGCCGUUUUGGAGAGUUUAAUGAUGCCUUUGACUAAAUGUUUUUCUGCAGUGUAAUACUAUCCUGGUUUCUGACACUCAAAAGCACAGAUGAAU